UUGGAUGAUGAGAACAUUUUAACUCCUAUUUGGAUUUCUCCAAUAUGAGGAUUAAAAAUGCAACAACAACACUCUAAUUUUUUCCUGACC
rfam:Hortaea werneckii EXF-2000 unitig_2, whole genome shotgun sequence.